rnacentral:lncRNA from 10 species
AUUUUUUUGGAAUAAAAUUAAUUUAUGGUAUGUAAAAUUAAAUUAGUAAUUAAAUAAAUUAUAUUAAUUUAUUUUUAUAUUCUAUCAAUUAACAUUUGUUGGGUAUUUCUGUGUGUGGUAUCCUUUUUUAAAUUGAAAAAAAGAAAACAAUGCUCCAAUUAGGACAUAGAAGGCCUUGUGAUACUCAAUAAACUGAAUACUAUUGGAAUUCACAAUGGUCAAUAAAGGAAUUCCUUUGUCUUUAGUUAUGGUCUAGGGCUAUGCUGGUGUGUUUAUGCUUAUAAUCAAAUAGUGUGCAGCCUUUAAAUAUAGAGGGUGUGUCCCUAUGGUUUAUGUCACACUUUUGAUGGAAAAAAAUUAAUCAGGGACACUUGGAUUCUAUUCUUGUGCUUUGCAGUGUUGGCAGCCUUCCAAGAUUGGACAGAUAAUGUUCUCAUUAAGCUGGUGGAUGAGAUUAUCUUCCAAGCCAUUGAUAAAGUUUAUGACAAUAGUGGGCCUGAGAACUGACCCCAGUGGGACAGCUCUCAAUAUGCAACCCUAGUUUGUCCCAUAAUCAUUGAUCAUCACCUAUGGGUAUGACCUUUACACCAGUUAUACAUUGACCUUACAAAAUAUUCCAAAUUUCUUCAUGAAAAAUGUCAUGUGAGUCUGUAUCAGAGGACUUACUAGGAUCCAGAUCUAUUAAAAGUCUUGCCUUUUUUUUAACCAUCAUUAUCACAAAAAUAUUACAUUGUUCUGGGGUGACUUUCAUAAAAUCAUAUUAAGUUAUGGUUGACACCAGUGGUCUUUAAAACUAUUUGGUAGCUAAUAAUUUUAUGAUUAUAAGUAGUAGCAAUCCAAAUAUUAAAAUUCGGUGGACUAAUCUUUACUUUUCUUUUUUUCCUUUUCGUUAGAGACAGUGUUUUGCUCUGUAGCCCAGGCUGGAGUGCAGUGGUGUGAUCCUAGCUCACUGUAACCUCUAACUGCUGGGCUCAAGUGAUCCUCCACCUUAUCCUCUCGAGUAGCUGUGAUUAUAGGUAUGAGCUGCCGAGAUUGGCUAUUUUUUUUUUUUUUUUUUGUAGAAAUGCGGUCUAUUUUGCCCAGGCUCGUCAGUUUUUUAAAUAUAUUAUUUUAAAUUCUAUACUUUAUUUUUCUAUUGUUACAUGUCCAUCCCAUAUCCUCGUAACUUCCUAAACCUCUUGUUUUGUCCGCCUGCCUUUGCCUGUUGUUCCUUCCUCAAUAUUGCCCCUGUGCUGGAUCAGAAUUACCUCAGUCCUGCUCUCAUCAAAAUCACCUGAUUUGUGUGUGUCCCGUUAUUCACAUAUUAACUUCCCUUUGAAAUGCUUGUUAUUUUGAGAAUAAAAACAAUUCUACAUCCAAAGUGCCUAGCAAAGAGACCAGAAUAGCGUGGGCACUUAAUCAGUAAAUAAAUCCUGUAGGGUUUUAUUCUUAGACUUUUCCUAGAAUAUCACUUUUUUUUUUGCCUUUCCCCAAAACACUAUGUCUGGUUGAUAAUGUGCUCCCCAGGAAUUCAUAGUAACAGAAAGAAAGCUUUUGCACAUUCUUUGCUCACUGCAAGUGGCCAGAUGCAGUUAUUUCAUCCUCUUCUUCAGUUUAUCUUGACAGAAUUUGCUUUCUGUCCGUUAAUACAGUCAUUUACUGAGCUCCCCCAGACAUUCUUCCUUUUUCCUCAGUGAUUUCAGCACCUGGUCUACAUUUUCACCCUCUGCCUUGCCUUCUGCAAAGUUUAUGACUAUACGGUACAAUUCAAUCACUUCACAGUUUUUCCACCUCCAUGACUCCAGUAAUUUAAUUUUUAUCAGCCAUAAGCAUAACCAUAUAACCCUCCAAGUUCACAGACACUGAAAUGUUGUAUUUUCUCAUAGGUGACAUGCUCUUACUUUGCAUCUGACCAUGCUAAUCUAAGUAUUACAUUUAGAAAGUAAUUUUGGAGAUACUCUAACAUGAAGAGUGUUCAAAAGGGCUUCAACGAUCAUUUUGCAAUCAGACAAGCUGCAGUGGGAAGAAGAUUUGACUGGAAGGACCUUAACGAAAGUUCAAAUGCCAGUGAGAGCUUUAAAACUGCCUUCAGAUAGCGUUUUUUGACUCCUUAUCUAACUCCCAUCCUAAUCUCUACACCCAGUGACUGCAAACUUAUUUCCCUGAAAUUUAAUUCAAUUUCACACAUAUUUAUUGAGCAUAUUUUAUUUAUGAGAAAUAGUUCUAGGAACUUGGUAUAAAUCAGUGAGCAAACAGAUAAAGCUGCCUUCCAUUUUGCCACUUAGAUCCUUUGCUUGAAUUCUCUCGCAAAUGUAUCCUAUAUUGUCUUGUAUAUAUUAUUGAUAAUUUCAUGAGAUUUCUGUGCUCAACAGAAUCUUACAUCUAGACAAAUUAUUUUCUAGUUUAUGUAAAGAUUUAAAUCUGUUUUCUGUGUGUGGACAGGUUAAAUAAGAUAAUGUUUGGGGUGCCUUGGAUGAUGACUAACAUGUAGUAAGCAUCAUGCCUGUAAUCCCAGCACUUUGGCAGGCUGAGGUGGGAAGAUUGCUUGAGGCCAAGUGAGACCAGUGGCCAACAUAGUGAGACUGCCUUUCUACAUUAAAAAAAAAAAAAAUUUUCCUUACCAUGACUAGCAUUGGUAUUUUAGAGAUUGUGGUAAAGUACUGCAUUUAAAAUUAUAAGUGCUCAGCCAGGCAUGGUGGCUCACGGCUGUAAUCCCAGCACUUCGGGAGGCCAAGGCGGGCAGAUCACAAGGUCAGGGGUUCAAGACCAGCCUGACCAACAUGGUGAAGCCUCAUCUCUACUAAAAAUGCAAAAAUUAGCCAGGCGUGGUGAUGUGUGUCUGUAAUUCCUGCUACUCAGGAGGCUGAGGAGGAUAAUUGCUUGAACCUGGGAGGUGAAGGUUGCAGUGAGCCGAGAUCGUGCCACUGCACUCCAG